rnacentral:piRNA from 1 species
UUAUCCAGUUCUCUGCUGUCAGAGAGGGUA